CCUUCGGGCGGCAGCAGUGGGGAAUAUUGGGCAAUGGGCGCAAGCCUGACCCAGCAACGCCGCGUGAAGGAAGAAGGCUUUCGGGUUGUAAACUUCUUUUCUCAGGGACGAAGCAAGUGACGGUACCUGAGGAAUAAGCCACGGCUAACUACGUGCCAGCAGCCGCGGUAAUACGUAGGGGGCAAGCGUUAUCCGGAUUUACUGGGUGUAAAGGGAGCGUAGACGGUUAAUCAAGUCAGAAGUGAAAACCCAGGGCUCAACCUUGGGACUGCUUUUGAAACUGAGUAGCUAGAGUGCAGGAGAGGUAAGCGGAAUUCCUAGUGUAGCGGUGAAAUGCGUAGAUAUCAGGAGGAAUACCGUUAGCGAAGGCGGCAAUCUGGCUGGAAACUGACGCUGAGGUGCGAAAGCGUGGGUAGCAAACAGGAUUAGAUACCCCAGUAGUC
rnacentral:rRNA from 1 species